AAAAAAAAAAGUCUCACUAAGUUGCUCAGGCUGGGUUCAAACCUGUGAUCCUCUCACCUCCCAUAGUGCUAGAGAUCACAAGUGUGUCACCAUGCCCAGCUGACCCUGGAUGUUUUGGGUCCACCUUUUCUCUUUUCUACUCCCCUGCUCUUUGUGGCCCCCAUCACCACAGCAUCUAGGAGCUCAAACCAACUCAUUACAUUUCCAACAGCCCUGUGCGAGAAGACACCUUCCUUCCGGAAGCCUUAGCUCUGAAGCUGAGCUUGGAGGAGGAGCAGACUCCUUGUUGGAUGGAAUCUGGAGAUUUAUGCAAAGAAGAGAAACAAGCACCAAACGUGUAUCAAAUGCCCACAGGGUGAAAUGUCUUACAGCUGCCUGGAGACUCAGCUAAUCCUUCCCCCCCAUCCUAACCCUUGGAGCCACCGAGGCAGCAAUGGCAAAACUUUAGAGCUUUUUCGGUGAUAACAAACGGCCCGCCGUGGCACGCGUGCCUUGGUUCAGCACCACUGCUCUAAGGCAGUAGCGGUCUUCACCUAUAGGACUAGCCCUGGAACAUUCGAUGAUACCAGUCAGGGUUUGUCCUCCCCAGCUCUGUCCAGAAAAAUACUAGGUCACCCCCGGGACGGACCGGUCUCAUUUCAUGCUACCCCAGGAGCAAGCCAAGGGCACAGAUGGAAGUCAGCGCUACAGAGAUGCGUUAAGGGGAGGAAGCAGGACUCUAUGCUAAACCAAGAGGCAAAGUCUUGUGUCUCACAGCAGCCAGCCCCAGUGGGUCAGGACUCGCCAAAGAAUCCAGGGGCAUCCGAAGAGAGCUGGGAUUCUCGGUUCCACUUGCCAUUCUGCCACCACUCCGAGAGCAAGGUAGCCUAGAGACAGCGGGCUCAUCUGAGUUCCUCGGCCUGCCUCGGAGAGUAGGUGCCUGAAACACGUUAACUCAACAGUUAAAAUCAGAGGGUCUCACUAUGUAGUUCAGGCUGUCCUUGAACUACGUAGCCCAGCCUCAUUUUGAACUCAUGAUCAUCCUCCUGCCUCAGCCUCCCAAGUGCUGGUAUUAAAGGUGUGUGCUAUCAUGCCCGGCAUUUUGUUUGUUUGUUUGUUUGUUUUUACAUUAUGUACAAAUCACCUACGGUUUUAUUUGCCUGCUUUUUCAUAUGAAUAUCCCCAGAUCCAAAGGCUGUUUGCCAAAUAGGCCCCAGGAAGGCACUGGGGUACUAGUAAAAAGAGAGUUUCGGAACUACAAGGAAAGAGUGGUUGCCAAAGACAGCUCUGGACAUCACUGUCAGCCACUUGUUCCCUGGAGUCAUCCGGCCUCCCCAGAAGGAAGCGCGCUGGCCUUCCGGCCGAGUGUCACCCUGCCUACCAGACCCAGCCCUCCUCUGUGUGGCUUCGUCCUGGCAACAACGCACCAGUGGAAGGAGACGUGGCAGCCUGCAGAGCCGCUGGCUGGAAAUGCCUUUCAGGAGCUGUUUCUCUCGCUGCUCAAACCAGCCCAGACCGUCUGGCUCCCUUUCUAGAAGUUCGCCGAACAUGAGCGUCUCUUCUUCUUUACGCACUGUCCCACUGGGGCUCACAGCCCGGGACCUGCUGAGGGCUGUCUCCAGCUGGAGACUCGAAGCGUUGCCGAGUGCAGCCACGCACAGGCUGCAGGGUCCCAGCGCCGCCUGGUCCGCCUGUCCUCCGGCCCUAGGUCCUCCUGCCCAGCACCAUCAUCUGGGCUAAGUGGUCCCGUCCCCGGGCCGUUUCUCUCUCAGGGCUCACACACAUCUCUCCUCAGGGUCCAUUUCCCUAUGUACCAGGCGGUGCUGGGUGUCUUUCCUACUCGAUGCAAGCCUGUGAUGUGUGUGAUAAAGUUUUUUGUUUUGUUUUUUGUAUGGGGGAUCGAAGUCAGGUGCGCUUUCGAGGCAGGCAGCAGAACCACGGAGUUAAAUCCCUGGCCCAGCAGAACGUUUUCUGAAAGGUCCUUGCAUCCCUUGCUCAUACAGGCAACAAAAUAAUCCUUAUUUACCGUCAAGUUCAAAAGGUGCAAAGAUGUAAAAGACCAAGGCCAGGGUGAAGACUCCUCCGCCUCCCGCCCCACUCCUCCCACCCACCUCAGUGCCCUCAGAUGAAACCCAACAAGGGCUCCCCCACAAGCCGACGAAGCUGGGGCCAGAGGGUGUGGAAAGGGCUUAGUAUGCAGUUUAUUCCAGAGCCUCAAGGAGCUGGGGCUUUGCUCUAGACUGGAAGCUUUCAGAAAGCAAGGAUGAUACCAUGAUUCGAACCUUACUUCUCCAGAAAACAAGAGGACAGAAACAAGCCUACAGCUCUCAUUGGAAAAAGAGCAGCCGUCGCUCCUGUGCCCCGUGAUAGGGAAUUCUGGGGGGUCGUCCUUGUGGUUAGGGCGCUUCUUUGGUUUGGACUGUGCUCCUGCAGGAUUACAAAGAAGUCUUGUUUUUGUCGAAAUCCAUCAGUCACGGGUGCUGAUGGUCUGUGAAACUAUGCUUAACGAGAGAGUACCAAAGAAAUGACCACACUCUUUGGAUUUUUGUUUAUUUUCACUUAAUAAUAUGUGUUCUAUACCUUUCUGAGUUCAUA